UGGGGAAUAUUGGACAAUGGGCGGAAGCCUGAUCCAGCCAUGCCGCGUGUGUGAAGAGGGCCUUUUGGUUGUAAAGCACUUUAAGCGAGGAGGAGGCUCUUCUAGUUAAUACCUAGGAUGAGUGGACGUUACUCGCAGAAUAAGCACCGGCUAACUCUGUGCCAGCAGCCGCGGUAAUACAGAGGGUGCGAGCGUUAAUCGGAUUUACUGGGCGUAAAGCGUGCGUAGGCGGCUGAUUAAGUCGGAUGUGAAAUCCCUGAGCUUAACUUAGGAAUUGCAUUCGAUACUGGUCAGCUAGAGUAUGGGAGAGGAUGGUAGAAUUCCAGGUGUAGCGGUGAAAUGCGUAGAGAUCUGGGGGAAUACCGAUGGCGAAGGCAGCCAUCUGGCCUAAUACUGACGCUGAGGUACGAAAGCAUGGGGAGCAAACAGG
rnacentral:rRNA from 1 species